UCCAGACUCCUACGGGAGGCAGCAGUGGGGAAUAUUGCACAAUGGGGGGAACCCUGAUGCAGCGACGCCGCGUGGGUGAAGGAGUGUUUCGGUAUGUAAAGCCCUCUCAGCAGGGAAGAACAAUGACGGUACCUGACUAAGAAGCACCGGCUAAAUACGUGCCAGCAGCCGCGGUCAUACGUAGGAUCCGAGCAUUAUCCGGAGUGACUGGGUGUAAAGAGUUGCGUAGGUGGCAUAAUAAGUAGCUAGUGAAAUCUGGUGGCUCAACCAUUCAGACUAUUAGCUAAACUGUUAAGCUCGAGACCGUUAGGGGUAACUGGAAUUUCUAGUGUAGGAGUGAAAUCCGUAGAUAUUAGAAAGAACACCAAUAGCGUAGGCAGGUUACUGGGACGGUUCUGACACUAAGGCACGAAAGCGUAGGGAGCAAACGGGAUUAGAUACCCUGGUAG
rnacentral:rRNA from 1 species